UACAGAGGGGGCAAGCGUUGUUCGGAAUUACUGGGCGUAAAGGGCGCGUAGGCGGCCUUCUAAGUCGAACGUGAAAUCCCUGGGCUCAACCCAGGAACUGCGUCCGAUACUGGAAGGCUUGAAUCCGGGAGAGGGAUGCGGAAUUCCAGGUGUAGCGGUGAAAUGCGUAGAUAUCUGGAGGAACACCGGUGGCGAAGGCGGCAUCCUGGACCGGUAUUGACGCUGAGGCGCGAAAGCCAGGGGAGCAAACGGA
rnacentral:rRNA from 1 species